rnacentral:rRNA from 1 species
UUACGCUGUUAUCCCUAAGGUAAUUUAGUCUUAUAAUCACUAAAAAUGGAUCAAAAAUUUAUAAACAAAUAUAAAAAAAUAAAAAGAGUUAUAUUAAUCUUCCCAUCACCCCAACAAAAUUUACAUAAUACUAAACAUAUUAACCCACAAAAAAUAUGAAAUUAAAUUAAACUCUAUAGGGUCUUCUCGUCCCAAAAAAAUAUUCAGGCAUUUUAACCUAAUAUUUAAAUUCAACAAAAUAAAAAUUUAAGAAAGUAAACACCUCGUCAAACCAUUCAUCCCAGCAGUUCAAUUAAAAAACUAAUGAUUAUGCUACCUUUGCACAGUCAAAAUACUGCGGCCAUUUAAAAAUCAGUGGGCAGGUAAUACUUCAUAAUAUAUACAAGAAGAGAUGUUUUUGUUAAACAGGCG